UGGCCACAUCACGUUGAAAUAGUGGUUCCCAUAUGAACACCAAAGUUAAGCAACAUUGUGCCUAGUAUGUACCUAGAUGGGUGAUAGUUUGGGAAUACCAGGUGUUGUAAG